rnacentral:rRNA from 1 species
CCUACGGGGGGCAGCAGUGGGGAAUAUUGCACAAUGGGCGCAAGCCUGAUGCAGCCAUGCCGCGUGUGUGAAGAAGGCCUUCGGGUUGUAAAGCACUUUCAGCGGGGAGGAAGGCGGUGAGGUUAAUAACCUCAUCGAUUGACGUUACCCGCAGAAGAAGCACCGGCUAACUCCGUGCCAGCAGCCGCGGUAAUACGGAGGGUGCAAGCGUUAAUCGGAAUUACUGGGCGUAAAGCGCACGCAGGCGGUCUGUCAAGUCGGAUGUGAAAUCCCCGGGCUCAACCUGGGAACUGCAUUCGAAACUGGCAGGCUAGAGUCUUGUAGAGGGGGGUAGAAUUCCAGGUGUAGCGGUGAAAUGCGUAGAGAUCUGGAGGAAUACCGGUGGCGAAGGCGGCCCCCUGGACAAAGACUGACGCUCAGGUGCGAAAGCGUGGGGAGCAAACCGGAUUAGAUACCCCUGUAGUC